ensembl:lincRNA
GUCUAAGGCAGGGCACAGACAGUGAACAUAACCUCACCCCCUUCUUUUCCAUUACUGCCUGUGUUUUUCUCUGCUGUGUAUCCUUGGUGUCUUGUCUUGGCCUCCUUGAUUCUCUGCACUCCUGGGAGUGCCUGACAGUGGAGAUGUUUGGACCCCUUCAGGAAAGAGACUUCACAGCUCAAAUCAGAGGCCCCUGCUAACAGACUUCACCCCCGACCCCUAUGACCUUCUCUUAGGGCCUCCUGAGAGCUCAACUCCCCCUGCUCCUGCCACCACCCUAGGGUGUGUGUAGGGGUUGGAGGUGGGGGCUGUGCGCCUGCCUGGAGAGCCCUGUGGUUUGCUUUGUGGUUCCCACGUGGCCACCAGCUAACCAGAAGCUCCCCUCCCAUUCUCAGCGUCGCUGGCAGGCAUGAGACUGGAGGAAGGUGACAUUGCGGUCAGCCUGGGCACCAGUGACACCCUGUUUCUCUGGCUCCAAGAACCCAUGCCUGCCCUGGAAGGCCACAUCUUCUGCAACCCGGUUGACUCUCAGCACUACAUGGCACUCCUGUGGUGAGCCUGGGUGUUGGUUGGCACCAUUCCCUGGGUGAGGAGGUGUGAGCAGAUCUGGCACCAUCUUGAGGACCCUAGGUCCUUCCACUAAGCUCUGGAAUGACUCCCUCCACUUUCCCAGGCUCUGCUGGGCAGCUGAGACCCCCAAGGACUCACCGAC